AUUGAACGCUAGCGGGAUGCCUUACACAUGCAAGUCGAACGGAGUGGCGAACGGGUGAGUAAUGUAUCGGAACGUGCCCAGUAGCGGGGGAUAACUACGCGAAAGCGUAGCUAAUACCGCAUACUAUUGGAGCGGCCGAUAUCGGAUUAGCUAGUUGGUGGGGUAAAGGCUUACCAAGGCGACGAUCCGUAGCUGGUUUGAGAGGACGACCAGACACACUGGGACUGAGACACGGCCCAGACUCCUACGGGAGGCAGCAGUGGGGAAUUUUGGACAAUGGGGGAAAGCCUGAUCCAGCCAUCCCGCGUGUGCGAAGAAGGUCUUCGGGUUGUAAAGCACUUUAAGCAGGAAAGCGGUACCUGCAGAAUAAGCACCGGCUAACUACGUGCCAGCAGCCGCGGUAAUUC
rnacentral:rRNA from 1 species